rnacentral:rRNA from 1 species
GAUGAACGCUGGCGGCGUGCCUAAUACAUGCAAGUCGAGCGAACGGACGAGAAGCUUGCUUUUCUGAUGUUAGCGGCGGACGGGUGAGUAACACGUGGAUAACCUACCUAUAAGACUGGGAUAACUUCGGGAAACCGGAGCUAAUACCGGAUAAUAUUUUGAACCGCAUGGUUCAAAAGUGAAAGACGGUCUUGCUGUCACUUAUAGAUGGAUCCGCGCUGCAUUAGCUAGUUGGUAAGGUAACGGCUUACCAAGGCAACGAUGCAUAGCCGACCUGAAAGGGUGAUCGGCCACACUGGAACUGAGACACGGUCCAGACUCCGACGGGAGGAAGCAGUAGGGAAUCUUCCGCAAUGGGGGAAAGCCUGACGGAGCAACGCCGCGUGAGUGAUGAAGGUCUUCGGAUCGUAAAACUCUGUUAUUAGGGAAGAACAUAUGUGUAAGUAACUGUGCACAUCUUGACGGUACCUAAUCAGAAAGCCACGGCUAACUACGUG